UAUAUACUCCCUCCGUCCGGAAAUACUUGUCAUCAAAAUGGAUAAAAGGGAUGUAUCUAGAUGUAUUUUAGUUUUAGAUACAUCCCUUUUUGUCAAUUUGAUGACAAGUAUUUUCGGACGGAGGGAGUAUAAU
rnacentral:pre_miRNA from 1 species